AGAGUUAAACAGUACGUGAAAUUGUUGAAAGGGAAACGAUUGAAGUCAGUCGUACCAGCGGGAAAUCAACCUUUCGAGUGGGGUUUUGGAGUUUUGAAGUGUGUCAAAACCUUUGAGAUUUCAAAAUUUUCGCUCCUUUGGUGUACUUUCUCGCAGGUAGGUUAACAUCGAUUUUGAUCAUCAUAAAAGGAUUGGAGGAAUGUAGCUUCGAUCUCGUAUUGAAGUGUUAUAGCCUUUGGUAAAUGUGAUGAUUAGGAUCGAGGAUUGCAACGAAUACCCUUUUGGGCUAUCCGCCUGAUCUCUGAUACGUGGCCUUGGUAUCGAAAGCGUGCUUAUGGUAUUAAGGUAUUACGGUCAAAAGGUUAGAACGGAUUACAUUCGUUAAGGAUGUUGACGUAAUGGCUUUAAACGACC
rnacentral:sRNA from 1 species